UGGGGAAUUUUGGACAAUGGGCGAAAGCCUGAUCCAGCAAUGCCGCGUGUGUGAAGAAGGCCUUCGGGUUGUAAAGCACUUUUGUCCGGAAAGAAAUCCUUGGCUCUAAUACAGUCGGGGGAUGACGGUACCGGAAGAAUAAGCACCGGCUAACUACGUGCCAGCAGCCGCGGUAAUACGUAGGGUGCAAGCGUUAAUCGGAAUUACUGGGCGUAAAGCGUGCGCAGGCGGUUUGCUAAGACCGAUGUGAAAUCCCCGGGCUCAACCUGGGAACUGCAUUGGUGACUGGCAGGCUAGAGUAUGGCAGAGGGGGGUAGAAUUCCACGUGUAGCAGUGAAAUGCGUAGAGAUGUGGAGGAAUACCGAUGGCGAAGGCAGCCCCCUGGGCCAAUACUGACGCUCAUGCACGAAAGCGUGGGGAGCAAACAGGAUUAGAUACCCUGGUAGUCCACGCCCUAAACGAUGUCAACUAGUUAUUGGGGAUUCAUUCCUUAGUAACGUAGCUAACGCGUGAAGUUGACCGCCUGGGGAGUACGGUCGCAAGAUUAAAACUUAAAUGAAUUGACGGGGUCAUAGCUGUUUCCU
rnacentral:rRNA from 1 species